UACGAAGGGGGCUAGCGUUGCUCGGAAUCACUGGGCGUAAAGCGCACGUAGGCGGAUUGUUAAGUCAGGGGUGAAAUCCUGGAGCUCAACUCCAGAACUGCCUUUGAUACUGGCGAUCUCGAGUCCGGGAGAGGUGAGUGGAACUGCGAGUGUAGAGGUGAAAUUCGUAGAUAUUCGCAAGAACACCAGUGGCGAAGGCGGCUCACUGGCCCGGUACUGACGCUGAGGCGCGAAAGCUAGGGGAGCAAACGGG
rnacentral:rRNA from 1 species